GAAAAGGAAAAAUAGGUGGAAAGCAUAUAAUAUCAGAAAUCAAUGUAAAAAAGUCAUCAAAAUGUAAAUUUGCCAAGCAUUCCAAAAUUUUUCAAUCACAUUUUUUAUUUUAUUUUAUUUCAUCUUAAAGAUUUCUUUGAGAGUGCGUGCAUAUGCACAUGUGAGUGGGGGAGGGGCAGAGGGAGAGAAUCUUCAAGCCAACUCCUUGCUGAGUGCUGAACCACAUGCAAGGACCCAACCUUAUGACCAUGAGAUCAUGACCUGAACUGAAACCAAGAGUCAGGCGCUUAACUGACUAAGCCACCCACGUGCUCCCUCAAUCGUAUUUUUAAACAUCAAGCAAAAAUUGUUUAAAGACACAGAAGAAUUCAGAAAAAUCAAUGAAUGGAGAAAAGGUAUUUUAACAAAAAAAAUUACAGCUAUGUUAAUUACAAAUUCAAAAGAAGUUACUGUAUAAAUCAGAUUACUGGCCCAGGUCCGUCCCCUUUUCUGUGGAGUCUGAGUGAGCCUUCGCAGGUUUUGCUUCCCCACUCUAGAACCGGAUCACCAUGGCGACUGGACAGAAGUUGAUGAGAGCGAUUCGAGUUUUUGAAUUUGGUGGACCAGAAGUUCUGAAACUCCAGUCGGAUAUUGCAGUACCAAUUCCAAAAGACCAUCAGGUUCUGAUCAAAGUCCACGCGUGUGGUGUAAACCCAGUGGAAACAUAUAUUCGUUCUGGUACUUACAGCAGAAAACCACUCUUACCCUAUACUCCUGGUUCAGAUGUGGCUGGUGUAAUAGAAGCCGUUGGAGAUAAUGUGUUCACUUUCAAGAAAGGCGACAGAGUUUUCACUACCAGCACCAUCUCUGGGGGCUAUGCCGAGUAUGCUCUCGCAGCAGAUCACAGUGUUUACACACUGCCAGAAAAACUGGACUUUGAGCAGGGAGCUGCCUUCGGUAUUCUCUAUUUUACUGCUUAUCGAGCUCUGCUCCACAGUGCCCGUGUGAAAGCUGGAGAAAGUGUGCUGGUUCAUGGGGCUAGUGGAGGAGUUGGACUAGCAGCAUGCCAGAUUGCCAGAGCUUAUGUCUUAAAGGUUUUGGGCACAGCUGGUACUGAGGAAGGACAAAACAUUGUUUUGCAAAAUGGAGCCCAUGAAGUGUUCAGUCACAGAGAACUUAAUUAUAUUGAUAAAAUUAAGAAAUCUGUUGGUGAAAAACGAAUUGAUGUGAUCAUUGAAAUGUUAGCUAAUGUAAAUCUUAGUAAUGAUUUGAAUCUUCUGUCAUAUGGAGGACGAGUAAUAGUUGUUGGCAGCAGAGGUCCUAUUGAAAUAAACCCACGGGACACCAUGGCAAAGGAAUCUAGUAUAAUUGGAGUUGCUCUCUAUUCAUCAACUAAGGAGGAAUUUAGGCAAUUUGCAGCCGCCCUUCAAGCUGGAAUGGAAAUUGGUUGGUUGAGACCUGUAAUAGGUUCUCAGUAUUCACUGGAGAAGGUGGCCCAGGCUCACAAAAAUAUCAUCCAUAACAGUGGGGCUCGUAGGAAAAUGAUUCUUCUCUUAGAAUGAUUAAUUCUUUCAUGUAUUUCCUAUGCAAUUAGAAGUUUCCUGUCCCAGUUUAAUUAUACUACCUUUGCUCUAUCAGCAUUCAU